rnacentral:snoRNA from 1 species
UUGUGGUGCAAUGAUGAUAUUGUAAUUCCCAGCUCAUUAUGAGACCUUUAUUUGGAGGUCCGGGAAAAGAUUCCAUAACAUUUCUCUGAGCACAA